CACCGAUGGACACCUUGCACUGCCUGUGGCCAGCCAGGUUAUACGGCGGCGAUCAGCUGGUGAUUUUGCUGCAAAACGUUGUCAAACCCGAGGAACCUGCCAAGGCAGUGGCAGCCCUGCAAGCCUUCAGGGAUGUGUCCUGCGGAGAAUGAAGAAGAUAUCCAGCAGAUGUGUGACAAGAGUCUAC